UGGUGGCGAGUGGCGAACGGGUGAGUAAUAUAUCGGAACGUGCCCAGUCGUGGGGGAUAACGCAGCGAAAGCUGUGCUAAUACCGCAUACGAUCUCUGGAUGAAAGCGGGGGACUCGCAAGAGCCUCGCGCGAUUGGAGCGGCCGAUAUCAGAUUAGCUAGUUGGUGGGGUAAAAGCCCACCAAGGCGACGAUCUGUAGCUGGUCUGAGAGGACGACCAGCCACACUGGAACUGAGACACGGUCCAGACUCCUACGGGAGGCAGCAGUGGGGAAUUUUGGACAAUGGGCGCAAGCCUGAUCCAGCAAUGCCGCGUGCAGGAUGAAGGCCUUCGGGUUGUAAACUGCUUUUGUACGGAACGAAACGGUCCCUUCUAAUACAAGGGGCUAAUGACGGUACCGUAAGAAUAAGCACCGGCUAACUACGUGCCAGCAGCCGCGGUAAUACGUAGGGUGCGAGCGUUAAUCGGAAUUACUGGGCGUAAAGCGUGCGCAGGCGGUUAUAUAAGACAGAUGUGAAAUCCCCGGGCUCAACCUGGGACCUGCAUUUGUGACUGUAUAGCUAGAGUACGGUAGAGGGGGAUGGAAUUCCGCGUGUAGCAGUGAAAUGCGUAGAUAUGCGGAGGAACACCGAUGGCGAA
rnacentral:rRNA from 1 species